rnacentral:lncRNA from 1 species
UAGAAGUUUAUUGAGGACGGUACAACAAUGUCAUUGUGCAGCAACAAAUGGAACUGUAUCAUCGAUCUGACCUCGGUUGCGCAAGGGCGAAUAUGAGACACAAGGAUUCCGGCAGAUACAAACAGAAGUGAUGGAUUUAUUGAGGAUUACAUCAAAUAAUCCAGGAGCUGUGAAUCAGUUAACAAAAAAUGGAUAAAGUCGAAACCAAAGAAGAAGAUUCUGAAAUAAUCUCGAAAAGUGUACGCGUU